rnacentral:lncRNA from 1 species
AUGACAACUGUUAUGAAAAUCAUUAAUUGUUGUCCUCAGAUACUGCUUCUGUCAAGAGCAAUCUGGAGCCAUCAUGCUGAGGACCAUGAAACGAGUGGCAACUUGCUUCUCCCUGCCAGGAAUCAAUUGCUCCGUGCUAGUAGCAUUUACUGUGUCUGUGCCUGUGCAUCCCCAAAACCUGAGGGCAGUUACUUUAAAAUUCAGGAAAACAUCUACCAAUAAUCGGUGGUCCCAUGGAGAGGUUUUCCACCAUAGGAAAAAUCAAGGAGAAGAGGAACUAAAUAUGGAGUGAGAGAAAACUGCUGAGCUGGCUUCUACCAUGAAAGUCAUUAACCAAGUUGGAUUAGUAAACUCUUCCAAAGCCACAUCUGCCCUAUUAAAGCUUUAAGGGCCAUAUGCCAAAGUGAAAAUUAAAUAAAGCAACAAAAAGACUGUGCCCAAAUGAAUUUGGUUUUAUUUUUACUACACAGAGUGAGGCUCUGCACUAUAAAGCAACCACAGAGAGACCUUGCCAAGUUGUGGCGGUUUCCCAGAAUGCAUUAAAAACUCAGGAGUCUCCACCAUCUCCACUAAUGAUGCUAGCUACUGGAUCACAAAAUGACUUCUAUUCUGACUGUUACGGAAAAGCCCAUCUAGUGAAAAUUUCAUCAAGCAGUGUGAAAUUUGCACAUCAAUUUCAGGAUAGUCUGUUAGACAUGGCUUAGAAUCCUGCAACAAUAAAGGUUUUAAAAUGCCUUGUUAUAAUCAAAAAGUCUUAUUCCUGUCCUAAUCAUCUCUUUUGCUUCCAAGUUUACUUAGUGGUUCAUCCCAUAAGAGAAAAAAAAAUCUUGGCUCUACAUUUGAUAAAGGACAAAAGAUAUAUAGCUCCACAGAAUUAGAUCCUAUGCUCAAAUGCUGCUAUGAUUGCAAAGAACCUUCCCUGUGUUGUUCAUUGCUGGUGGAACGCAGCAUCAGAACAACUGUAGCCCUAGAAGAGUUUUAAUAUUGCCAAGUAUUGAAGCUUAAAUUAUUUUCAAAUUAUUUUCAUAGUAUAACUUUUGUGUAUCUUCACCAAUUUUGGCAGAUGAUAAAUCUGAACUGUGAAAUAUUUGUUUUGCCUCGCUUUGCUUCUUUCAUCAUUUUUUUUUCUUUCAAGUAUAUGCAGUAACUCAAACCAGACCCCCAAAUUUUCCUAACAAUCUGUUUCAGUGAAUAAGAAUAAUAAAAAUGAUUUCUAAUUAGUGCAAUAAAUGUUCUUGCUCUCAAGCGCCAAGAAUGGUUUGUUCACCAAAUUAUAAAGAUGUUUUUAAACCAAAUUAUCCUUCCCAAUCUUUGUUCUAU